rnacentral:misc_RNA from 1 species
UAACAAGGUUUCCGUAGGUGAACCUGCGGAAGGAUCAUUACUGAGUGCGGGCUGCCUCCGGGCGCCCAACCUCCCACCCGUGAAUACCUAACACUGUUGCUUCGGCGGGGAACCCCCUCGGGGGCGAGCCGCCGGGGACUACUGAACUUCAUGCCUGAGAGUGAUGCAGUCUGAGUCUGAAUAUAAAAUCAGUCAAAACUUUCAACAAUGGAUCUCUUGGUUCCGGCAUCGAUGAAGAACGCAGCGAA